rnacentral:rRNA from 1 species
UCGAGAAUUUUUCACAAUGGGGGAAACCCUGAUGGAGCGACGCCGCGUGGAGGAUGAAGGCCUUCGGGUCGUAAACUCCUGUCAUGCGGGAACAAGAAAGUGAUAGUACCGCAAGAGGAAGAGACGGCUAACUCUGUGCCAGCAGCCGCGGUAAUACAGAGGUCUCAAGCGUUGUUCGGAUUCAUUGGGCGUAAAGGGUGCGUAGGUGGUCAUGUAAGUCUAAUGUGAAAUCUCGGGGCUCAACCCCGAAAUUGCAUCGGAUACUGCGUGACUAGAGGACUGUAGAGGAGAUUGGAAUUCACGGUGUAGCAGUGAAAUGCGUAGAUAUCGUGAGGAAGACCAGUUGCGAAGGCGAAUCUCUGGGCAGUUCCUGACACUGAGGCACGAAGGCCAGGGGAGCAAACG